GGCCCCUUGGUCAAGUGGUCUAAGACACGGCCCUUUCAAGGCUGUAACACGGGUUCGAAUCCCGUAGGGGUCACCA
rnacentral:tRNA from 1 species